UCACAGUUGGGAAUCUGCCCUAUCUGCUGCUGACCUAUUGACUCAUCCCACCACAGCAACUGCUGCCCAAUCUCCAAAACUAAGGAAUUGCACCUUUGUACACCCUGUGCUUCAGUCCAGCAAGGAAAAGAAACGAACCAACCUGGCAUACUGAUUCACAGUUGGGAAUCUGCCCUAUCUGCUGCUGACCUAUUGACUCAUCCCACCACAGCAACUGCUGCCCAAUCUCCAAAACUAAGGAAUUGCACCUUUGUACACCCUGUGCUUCAGUCCAGCAAGGAAAAGAAACGAACCAACCUGGCAUACUGAUUCACAGUUGGGAAUCUGCCCUAUCUGCUGCUGACCUAUUGACUCAUCCCACCACAGCAACUGCUGCCCAAUCUCCAAAACUAAGGAAUUGCACCUUUGUACACCCUGUGCUUCAGUCCAGCAAGGAAAAGAAACGAACCAACCUGGCAUACUGAUUCACAGUUGGGAAUCUGCCCUAUCUGCUGCUGACCUAUUGACUCAUCCCACCACAGCAACUGCUGCCCAAUCUCCAAAACUAAGGAAUUGCACCUUUGUACACCCUGUGCUUCAGUCCAGCAAGGAAAAGAAACGAACCAACCUGGCAUACUGAUUCACAGUUGGGAAUCUGCCCUAUCUGCUGCUGACCUAUUGACUCAUCCCACCACAGCAACUGCUGCCCAAUCUCCAAAACUAAGGAAUUGCACCUUUGUACACCCUGUGCUUCAGUCCAGCAAGGAAAAGAAACGAACCAACCUGGCAUACUGAUUCACAGUUGGGAAUCUGCCCUAUCUGCUGCUGACCUAUUGACUCAUCCCACCACAGCAACUGCUGCCCAAUCUCCAAAACUAAGGAAUUGCACCUUUGUACACCCUGUGCUUCAGUCCAGCAAGGAAAAGAAACGAACCAACCUGGCAUACUGAUUCACAGUUGGGAAUCUGCCCUAUCUGCUGCUGACCUAUUGACUCAUCCCACCACAGCAACUGCUGCCCAAUCUCCAAAACUAAGGAAUUGCACCUUUGUACACCCUGUGCUUCAGUCCAGCAAGGAAAAGAAACGAACCAACCUGGCAUACUGAUUCACAGUUGGGAAUCUGCCCUAUCUGCUGCUGACCUAUUGACUCAUCCCACCACAGCAACUGCUGCCCAAUCUCCAAAACUAAGGAAUUGCACCUUUGUACACCCUGUGCUUCAGUCCAGCAAGGAAAAGAAACGAACCAACCUGGCAUACUGAUUCACAGUUGGGAAUCUGCCCUAUCUGCUGCUGACCUAUUGACUCAUCCCACCACAGCAACUGCUGCCCAAUCUCCAAAACUAAGGAAUUGCACCUUUGUACACCCUGUGCUUCAGUCCAGCAAGGAAAAGAAAGUAUGUUAUUUUAACCUACAGGCAAUACAACUACUAUUUCUUGUAUUUACACCUCAGG